UACGUAGGUGACAAGCGUUGUCCGGAUUUACUGGGCGUAAAGAGCGCGCAGGCGGUCGAUCAAGUCGAGUGUGAAAGCCCCCGGCUCAACUGGGGAGGGUCAUUCGAUACUGAUCGACUCGAAGGCAGGAGAGGGUAGUGGAAUUCCUAGUGUAGAGGUGAAAUUCGUAGAUAUUAGGAAGAACACCGGUGGCGAAGGCGGCCCACUGGUCCGGUACUGACGCUGAGGUGCGAAAGCGUGGGGAGCAAACAGG
rnacentral:rRNA from 1 species